CUACCUGCUUGAGAGACAUACUUCUUUAUAUGCCCAUAUGAACCUGGCAAGCUAUGGAAUGUAAAGAAGUAUGUAUUUCAGGUGGGGAUCAUU
rnacentral:pre_miRNA from 1 species